rnacentral:lncRNA from 1 species
GAAUCCCUAAGGAGCUGGUGAAGGCCUCCCUGAUCUGGCAAAUGUGACAAUGUGAAGUGCAUAUAUCUGACUCGGAGAAAGGAGUGAAAAGCAGCAGAGAGAUGAGGCGGAUGGCCCAAAGGGUUUCACAGGAGGCAAGUUCCUGAAGGGCCUUCCCUGUGCUUCUCCAUGCUUCCAAGCUGCUGCUCAGAUCAAAGGAAAUGGCUCCAAGGAGGCUGCAGAGGGAGACCACGCAUGCCAGCAGGAUCCUUUGAGCUGUUUUUCUACCACCCGUGUUGGAGAAGGAGGAAUAUCUAAAAGAAAGAAAUGAAAGAAAAAAGGAAAAGAGGGGUGGGAAGAGGCAGGUGAGUCUGAUCAUGGUGGUGUUUCUUACAGCUCCCGAAAAUACGGCCGGAGCUAACAGUGAUACAGUCUGAAACGAAGCAAAGGGAUCAU